rnacentral:rRNA from 1 species
ACGUACACUCCUGCGGGAGGCAGCAGUGGGGAAUAUUGGACAAUGGGCGCAAGCCUGAUCCAGCCAUGCCGCGUGAGUGAUGAAGGCCCUAGGGUUGUAAAGCUCUUUCACCGGUGAAGAUAAUGACGGUAACCGGAGAAGAAGCCCCGGCUAACUUCGUGCCAGCAGCCGCGGUAAUACGAAGGGGGCUAGCGUUGUUCGGAUUUACUGGGCGUAAAGCGAACGUAGGCGGACUAUUAAGUCAGGGGUGAAAUCCCGGGGCUCAACCCCGGAACUGCCUUUGAUACUGGUAGUCUUGAGUUCGAGAGAGGUGAGUGGAAUUCCGAGUGUAGAGGUGAAAUUCGUAGAUAUUCGGAGGAACACCAGUGGCGAAGGCGGCUCACUGGCUCGAUACUGACGCUGAGGUGCGAAAGCGUGGGGAGCAAACAGGAUUAGAUACCCUAGUAGUCC